rnacentral:misc_RNA from 1 species
GAGUUAGGGUCUCCGGGCCCGAACCUCCAACCCUUUGUCGUUAUAAAAAAACCCUUGUUGCUUCGGCGGGACUCGGGGGAAAGGCCAGUCGUCCCUCACGGGGCGGCCGGUCCCAACCCCGCGCCGGGUCCUCGGACCCGGAUCGCUCCCGCCGGAGUCAAACCAAACUCUUGUUUUAACAGUAUCGUCUGAGUGAAUUGAUAAAUCAAUUAAAACUUUCAACAACGGAUCUCUUGGUUCU